CUGAAUCACCCCUGCAAACCUGCCGGAAGAAAAACACAGCAUGAACCAAUUGCCCAGUACGGAUACAGAUAUACAACUGAUAUACGAAAAUAACUGAGACAAAAUACUGAACAAAGCCUCCAGUGCAAAUACGAACGAAAAUACAAUAUCCAAAGAUUUGAAUGGAAUAUAUCUGAAUCAACGUAAUGAAUCUAUCUGAAUCAACGUAAUUGACGAAACCAAUAAAAGAAUAAAGAAAUAAUGAACUGAAGUAACUAACUCAAUGACUUGAACUGAACAGAAACCAACAAAACUAAUCCAAUAAAAUAAUAGGCUGAAACAAAUGGCUGGAGUUAUUUUAUACCGAAUGAGCUCAGAAAUACACAUUGCCACACAGGCAAGUCAAAAUAAUGCCACACAGGCAACCAAAAUAAUGCCACACAGGCAAAUCACACAUUGGACCGCGAAUCCAAAUGUAUGCAAAUCGGAUAGGUGUGUUUGGCACAACAUCACAAAUCCGCAGAACAGAAAACUAGGGUUAACCCAUACGCCUCCCACAACAAAACACCAAAUG
rnacentral:lncRNA from 1 species